CAAGCAAAUUUUGGAAGAGGUCAAGAAGUCGACAGAAAAUCAACAGCGGGAGAAUGCUCUUUUUCAUGAAAAUCUACAGCGGGAGAAUGCUCUUUUUCGUGAAAAUCUACAGCAGGAAAAUGCCGUUGUUCGUGG